UGCAACCUGAACUCGGAUGUGAUUACCCGCUGAACUUAAGCAUAUCAUUUAGCGGAGGAAAAGAAACUAA
rnacentral:rRNA from 1 species